rnacentral:rRNA from 1 species
AAAGGGGAAAAGCUUGCUUGAUUUUGAUUUUCAGUUCGAAUACAAACUGUGAAAACAUGGCCUCUUGAUCCACCACC